AUACGUAGGGGGCAGGCGUUAUCCGGAUUUACUGGGUGUAAAGGGAGCGUAGACGGUUUGGCAAGUCUGAUGUGAAAGCCCGGGGCUCAACCGCGGGACUGCAUUGGAAACUGUCAGACUUGAGUGCAGGAGAGGUAAGUGGAAUUCCUAGUGUAGCGGUGAAAUGCGUAGAUAUUAGGAGGAACACCGGUGGCGAAGGCGGCUUACUGGACUGUAACGGACGUUGAGGCUCGAAAGCGUGGGGAGCAAACAGGAUUAGAUACCCUGGUAGUCCACGCUGUAAACGAUGAAUACUAGGUGUUGGGAGACAAUAGUUUCUCGGUGCCGCAGCAAACGCAAUAAGUAUUCCACCUGGGGAGUACGUUCGCAAGAAUGAAACUCAAAGGAAUUGACGGGG
rnacentral:rRNA from 1 species